rnacentral:misc_RNA from 1 species
CAAGAAACGAGGCGUAGCGUCGCCGCCGGCCCGCUCCUUACCUUGCCUACUGCACGUAUCUGUUGCUUCCUGGCGGCGGAUUGCCUGCCGCCAGGGACGUUGAUACAACCCUGUAUAGAAGCAUUGAAAGAUCUGAGACAAACGCGAAUCGUA